ACAAAAAAACCACCCAAAGAACACCAGGAUGGAAAAGACCCUCAAAGCUUAGGGAGAGGGGAGGCCAGGAAUUAGUGCAGCUUCAAACUUAUAAUCAACAAUGGAAACCAAGCAACACUGAUAAAUACCUUUCUACCCAGAAAUCUAUGUGUAGCCAAACAACCAAUUGUGGGGACGAAUCACAGGGAUUCAGAAACUCCCUCCCCACACACUCUUUCUUAGAAAGUGAUCACAGAAUCUGCACCAAUAAAGCGCGGAAGUACACCGGGGAGGAGGCAGGCACCGGCUCAGAAAACAAGAAAUCCAAUCCAGGAGCGAGAGAAAGAAUCCCCAGAAGGCAGAAAAGUCGUCGCACAGACAGAGCAGGAAAGAGCCGGCGGCCCAGCGGGAGCCCUCUCAGCCAGUCUGGGCUGGACAGAAAGUCCGAAGCAAACCUCGUCCUGUGGACAAGGGAAAGGCACCGGAGACGGGGACUGAGCCCAAGUGGCAAACACAAAGCAGGCGGAAACAGAAAGACUGGCUUACUCAGAGUGAAAAGCUAGAAAGAAACACUUUUGAAAAAGCAUAACCACAUGAAGCUAAUACAGCAUGUGAAUUAUAACUGAAAAAUUAAGAAUUUGGAAAAAAGCAUAACUACAAUGCAAUUAUCACACUUAAAUUUUUUAAUGACUUAAUGUCCCCAAAAAGCUACUCUACUGACUCAAAUUUUGACAAUUUACAUUUUCCUGAGAUAUCAUUCAUUUCAACCACUUUCUCACUUCAAAGCUUUAUAAAAUGUUCUCAGUAUUUUGUUUCUGGCUUGUUUGCUUAAACUUACUGUGUUUGCACUUUUUUUUGCCGAUGCUCCAAUAGGCUAACUUCGAUUUGUUUCUUUCAUUGACACAUUUUUUU